UCCACCCCAGACAGCUGCAGGGUGCUUGAGAACCCCCUGCCCCGACUGACCCUCUUGCUACAUUUUGCCACUGCCUCCCAGAAAUGGCGGCAGGCCCCAACUGCCAGCCGCCAUGUUUGGGCCAGCACGUGGCACUCAGAAUCCUGUCGCCAUGGCCACCCAACUGCCCUCAAUGCAGUCCCUCAGCUGACCCAGCGGGAGAAAGCUGCCCACUAGAGUCUCUGAAAGAGAUACUUGUUAUUUCUUGUGAUUUCUGAGGACAGGAUGGAGCAGCCACCUUUAAAGAAGAGGCGGCCGCUGGAAGAGGCUGAUAACAUCGAGCCCAUGGAGGUGGACCUGCCUGGCAGCAACGAAGAGCCCAUGGAGGUGGAUCCACCUAUGGAGGACAACCUGAUGGAAGUGGAUCCACCUCCAUCGGGGCACACUGGCCAUCACUCCAUUGCUGCCAGGCCGACCAGGAAGAGGUCGCGCCCCAAAUAUCACCGCAGGGGUGCCAGGAUCCGUCCACCUCCUGCGAAAUGGCCGCCUCGAUGCCGGCGCUGAUCCUCUCGUCCUCCAAGGCUCCUACGAGCCCUUCCUUCCCAUCCCCCUCCCUUGUCUUUUCCCAAGUCCUCUCAUCUCUUCUGCACCAAGUCCUGAGGAAGAGGGCAGGGCACGGACUGCCAUCCUUGGAGCUGCUGUGCCGGGGCAGUGGGAUGAGUCCAGCAGAGGGACCACAAACAUGAUGGGGGUGUGAGGAUCCUGUAAGUUUACCCUUAGCCGGGAAGGAGAGCCCAACGCAGGGCCAUCCCAUGGUCUCACACAGAGCCUCCAUUUCCUGAUCAUCCAUUUCUUUUGACAGCCAUGGCUCCCAUGAGCCCAUCCUUCCUGUCCUCCUCCCUCAUCCCUGCCCAAGAUGGGAGGAAAAGUCAAAGAAGGGGCAGAGGCAGCUGCUCCUGUGGAGAACCACGCUUUGGUUUGGACACGAAGAAAUGCUGAACUUCAGCAAGAAGAUCCAGUCCAGAUGCUUCCCUUGGACUUCUCUUUCAAGACAGGACAAUCAACAACUUAAAACAUCAAUACAAAAUAAUAAGAGUCAAAACCACAGAACAAAAUAAACACAUUUUCUUUUUUAAAAAACAA